CCCUCUCCCUACUGUCGGGCAUUUCAUCUAAGGUCCCUUCCUUUGAGUCCUGAGAGUCUCUUACCUCCCAGGUCUCUGGUGCAUUCUGGAGGGUCCUCUCAACCUCCUAUCUCCUGAAGUUGACUGUUUCCAUUCUUUCUGCUGGCCCUCAGGCCUUCCAUCCUUUUCCCUCAUCCAAUACCAGAUCAAGUUCUCCUCUCCCCUCCCUCCUUACCCACCCCACUUGUGAUUGCUUUCUUCUGUAGAGGAAUUUUAAUCCAGCAACAUGGCUGCUUUGGCAAGCAAUCACAUCCGAAGACUUUCUAGGUCUGUGCAACGCAGAUGGAAUGACAUAUGAUUAAUCCCUCUGGCUGGAUUACAGACAUGCCCUUCAUACACACCUUUAAUCCCAAAUAAUGAAGAUGCUGCAUGAUCACAACAGGCAAUGCCAAAAGAGGAGAAACCUCACAAGGCCCCACUCCUAGAUGAAGAACUCCACGUAACCAACGGCUGCUGAGAAAGAAAGAAUCAGUCUCUCUCCAGGAGGAACCCUCUGAUAGGUUAUCUGAUCCCAAAUGAUCAUCCCUAAACACAUACAUAAAAGCAACACAAACUGGACUUAGUAAGUUUUACAUAUAUGUAUAUGUAUGUUUUAUGUGUAUAUAUACAUAUAUGUAUGUAUAUUGCAUGUGUAUAUAUGUAUCUAUCUAUCUAUAUAUCUAUAGAUAUAUAGAUAUCACAAUUGUAAUUCAAGUAGAGGACAUGAACUUGAGAGGGAGUGAAUGGAGGAGAGAGGUGGGUAAAACUAUGUAAAUAUUGUACUCAUAUAUGAAACUCUCAAAACAAUCAAUCAACUGAAAUUUCAAAGACAGAUGCUAUUUGACUCCACUUAUGCAGGGUGACAAGUAAAAACUUAAAGAGAC
rnacentral:lncRNA from 1 species